rnacentral:misc_RNA from 1 species
GAAAUGCGAUAAGUAAUGUGAAUUGCAGAAUUCAGUGAAUCAUCGAAUCUUUGAACGCACAUUGCGCCCUUUGGUAUUCCAAAGGGCAUGCCUGUUCGAGCGUCAUUUGUACCCUCAAGCUUUGCUUGGUGUUGGGCGUCUUGUCUCCAGUUCGCUGGAGACUCGCCUUAAAGUAAUUGGCAGCCGGCCUACUGGUUUCGGAGCGCAGCACAAGUCGCGCUCUCUUCCAGCCAAGGUCAGCAUCCACAAAGCCUUUUUUCAACUUUUGACCUCGGAUCAGGUAGGGAUACCCGCUGAACUUAAGC